GAGACCGGCGCACGGGUGCGUAACGCGUAUGCAAUCUACCUUUUACAGAGGGAUAGCCCAGAGAAAUUUGGAUUAAUACCUCAUAGUAUAGUGAGUUGGCAUCAACACACUAUUAAAGUCACAACGGUAAAAGAUGAGCAUGCGUCCCAUUAGCUAGUUGGUAAGGUAACGGCUUACCAAGGCAACGAUGGGUAGGGGUCCUGAGAGGGAGAUCCCCCACACUGGUACUGAGACACGGACCAGACUCCUACGGGAGGCAGCAGUGAGGAAUAUUGGUCAAUGGGCGCAAGCCUGAACCAGCCAUGCCGCGUGCAGGAUGACGGUCCUAUGGAUUGUAAACUGCUUUUGCACAGGAAGAAACACUCGGUCGUGACCGAGCUUGACGGUACUGUGAGAAUAAGGAUCGGCUAACUCCGUGCCAGCAGCCGCGGUAAUACGGAGGAUCCAAGCGUUAUCCGGAAUCAUUGGGUUUAAAGGGUCCGUAGGCGGCCAGAUAAGUCAGUGGUGAAAGCCCAUCGCUCAACGAUGGAACGGCCAUUGAUACUGUUUGGCUUGAAUUAUUUGGAAGUAACUAGAAUAUGUAGUGUAGCGGUGAAAUGCUUAGAGAUUACAUGGAAUACCAAUUGCGAAGGCAGGUUACUACAAAUUGAUUGACGCUGAUGGACGAAAGCGUGGGUAGCGAACAGGAUUAGAUACCCUGGUAGUCCACGCCGUAAACGAUGGAUACUAGCUGUUGGGAGCAAUCUCAGUGGCUAAGCGAAAGUGAUAAGUAUCCCACCUGGGGAGUACGUUCGCAAGAAUGAAACUCAAAGGAAUUGACGGGGGCCCGCACAAGCGGUGGAGCAUGUGGUUUAAUUCGAUGAUACGCGAGGAACCUUACCAAGGCUUAAAUGUAGAUUGACCGGUUUGGAAACAGA
rnacentral:rRNA from 1 species